CUCGGCGGGCGGCCCCUCCCUGGGGCCGCUGCCUCCCUCGGGGGGUGCCCGCCGGCGUACCAAAACUCUUUUGUAUUUUAGUGGCCUCUCUGAGAAAACAAGCAAAUAAGUUAAAACUUUCAACAACGGAUCUCUUGGUUCUGGCAUCGAUGAAGAACGCAGCGAAAUGCGAUAAGUAAUGUGAAUUGCAGAAUUCAGUGAAUCAUCGAAUCUUUGAACGCACAUUGCGCCCGCCAGUACUCUGGCGGGCAUGCCUGUUCGAGCGUCAUUUCAACCCUCAAGCCCCGCUUGGUGUUGGGGUCCUACGGCUGCCGUAGGCCCUGAAAGCUAGUGGCGGGCUCGCUAUAACUCCGAGCGUAGUAGUAAAAUAUCUCGCUAGGGAGGUGUCGCGGGUUCCGGCCGUGAAAGCCCCGGCGAGUGAAGCGGCAACAGCUCAAAUUUGAAAUCUGGCUUCGGCCCGAGUUGUAAUUUGUAGAGGAUGCUUUUGGUGAGGUGCCUUCUGAGUUCCCUGGAACGGGACGCCAGAGAGGGUGAGAGCCCCGUAUAGUUGGACACCGAGCCUCUGUAAAGCUCCUUCGACGAGUCGAGUAGUUUGGGAAUGCUGCUCAAAAUGGGAGGUAUAUCUCUUCUAAAGCUAAAUACUGGCCAGAGACCGAUAGCGCACAAGUAGAGUGAUCGAAAGAUGAAAAGCACUUUGAAAAGAGGGUUAAAUAGUACGUGAAAUUGUUGAAAGGGAAGCGCUUGUGACCAGACUUGUGCCCGGCUGAUCAUCCAGUGUUCUCACUGGUGCACUCUGCCGGGCUCAGGCCAGCGUCGGUUCUCGCAGGGGGACAAAAGCUUCGGGAACGUAGCUCCUCCGGGAGUGUUAUAGCCCGUCGCUCAAUACCCCUGCGGGGACCGAGGUUCGCGCUCUGCAAGGACGCUGGCAUAAUGGUCACCAGCGGCCCGUCUUGAAACACGGACCAAGGAGUCGAGGUUUUGCGCGAGUGUUUGGGUGUAAAACCCGCACGCGUAAUGAAAGUGAACGUAGGUGAGAGCUUCGGCGCAUCAUCGACCGAUCCUGAUGUAUUCGGAUGGAUUUGAGUAAGAGCGUA
rnacentral:sRNA from 1 species